CCCGAUAUUAAGCUGAUCCUUGCCAGGGAGCAUAGAGCCACAGUGACUCAUAAUUUCCAUAAUUUGGUUUAUAUAUCGCAAGAAAACUUUCCAAACGCUGCACACCAUAUAUGUACAUGCCCAGUCCAUGAGAUUUAACACUCUCCAAGCAGGACAGGCGAAAUGAUUUUGAAAAAAAAGAACUUGUGGAAGCUGAAACAUUUAAGAUGUACACCAAAUUGAAAUUGAAGCAGCAAAAAG